GCCUAAUAUAAUAUACAAUACAUACAGUUUAUUUUAUGGUAUUUCAGAUUGGCCACAAGCUUAAAAGCGCAUUGUGGUUUCCAUUCCUGUUUUUGUUGGUUAUAAAUUCCUGGCAAGGAUUCCAAACUUUGGUAAAGGAUGUGGCUGAAUGUCUGACUUUCGAAGUCAGUUUACCCAUAAGUUUUCCUCAAUUUUUAAGAUGACUUCUCUUAUUAGAGGAAUAUCAGUUUUCAGCCAACCAGCCAAUAACUCUACUAGCUGCUAAUGUUAUGAGAUACAUGUUAUGAGAUACAAUAGUUUCUGUGUAUGCUUGAACACUU